GGCUCAGGAUAAACGCUGGCGGCGUGCAUGAGACAUGCAAGUCAUACGGGCAAGCUUGCUUGCUAGUGGCGGACGGCUGAGUAACGCGUAGGUGACCUGCCCCGAAGUGGGGAAUAACUGCCCGAAAGGGUGGCUAAUACCGCAUGUGGUGGUUCGUUCGUUCGAGUCAUCAAAGCAGUGAUGCGCUUCGGGAGGGGCCUGCGUCCGAUUAGCUCGUUGGUGGGGUAACGGCUCACCAAGGCGACGAUCGGUAGGUGGUCUGAGAGGACGAUCACCCAGACUGGGACUGAGACACGGCCCAGACUCCUACGGGAGGCAGCAGUCGGGAAUUUUGCGCAAUGGGCGAAAGCCUGACGCAGCAACGCCGCGUGAGGGAUGAAGGCCUUCGGGUUGUAAACCUCUUUUCUCAGGGAAGAUAAUGACGGUACCUGAGGAAUAAGUCACGGCUAACUACGUGCCAGCAGCCGCGGUAAUACGUAGGUGGCUAGCGUUGUCCGGAUUUACUGGGCGUAAAGAGCGCGCAGGCGGUCGUUCAAGUCGAGUGUGAAAGCCCCCGGCUCAACUGGGGAGGGUCACUCGAUACUGAUCGACUCGAAGGCAGGAGAGGGAAGUGGAAUUCCCGGUGUAGUGGUGAAAUGCGUAGAUAUCGGGAGGAACACCAGUGGCGAAGGCGACUUUCUGGCCUGUUCUUGACGCUGAGGCGCGAAAGCUAGGGUAGCAAACGGGAUUAGAUACCCCGGUAGUCCUAGCCGUAAACGAUGGACACUAGGUGUUGGUGGUAUCAACCCCGCCAGUGCCGAAGCUAACGCAUUAAGUGUCCCG
rnacentral:rRNA from 1 species